UACGGAGGGUGCAAGCGUUAUCCGGAUUUACUGGGUUUAAAGGGUGCGCAGGCGGACUGUUAAGUCAGUGGUGAAAUCUCCGGGCUCAACCCGGAAACUGCCGUUGAUACUAUCAGUCUUGAAUACUGUUGAGGUGGGCGGAAUAGGCCAUGUAGCGGUGAAAUGCAUAGAUAUGACCUGGAACCCCAAUUGCGAAGGCAGCUCACUAAGCAGACUAUUGACGCUGAGGCACGAAAGCGUGGGGAUCAAA
rnacentral:rRNA from 1 species